GACGAACGCUGGCGGAGUGCUUAACACAUGCAAGUCGAACGAAGUGGCGAACGGGUGAGUAACGCGUAAUCAACCUGCCCUUCAGCGGGGGACAACAGUAGGAAACGACUGCUAAUACCGCAUACUGAAGGAGGGGCUUGCGGCGGAUUAGCUAGUUGGAGGGGUAACGGCCCCCCAAGGUGAUGAUCAGUAGCCGGUCUGAGAGGAAUAACGGCCAACUGUGGACUUUGACACUGCCCAGACUCCUACGGGAGGCAGCAGUGGGGAAUCUUCCGAAAUGGACGAAAGUCUGACGGAGCAACGCCGCGUUAGUGAUGACGGCCUUCGGGUUGUAAAGCUCUGUUAUGCGGGACGCGGUACCGGAAUAGAAAGCCACGGCUAACUACGUGCCAGCAGCCGCGGUAAUAC
rnacentral:rRNA from 1 species